rnacentral:rRNA from 1 species
AGCGAACGCUGGCGGCAGGCUUAACACAUGCAAGUCGAACGGGCGUAGCAAUACGUCAGUGGCAGACGGGUGAGUAACGCGUGGGAACGUACCUUUUGGUUCGGAACAACACAGGGAAACUUGUGCUAAUACCGGAUAAGCCCUUACGGGGAAAGAUUUAUCGCCGAAAGAUCGGCCCGCGUCUGAUUAGCUAGUUGGUGAGGUAAUGGCUCACCAAGGCGACGAUCAGUAGCUGGUCUGAGAGGAUGAUCAGCCACACUGGGACUGAGACACGGCCCAGACUCCUACGGGAGGCAGCAGUGGGGAAUAUUGGACAAUGGGGGCAACCCUGAUCCAGCCAUGCCGCGUGAGUGAUGAAGGCCCUAGGGUUGUAAAGCUCUUUUGUGCGGGAAGAUAAUGACGGUACCGCAAGAAUAAGCCCCGGCUAACUUCGUG